UACAGAGGCCUCGAGCGUUAGGCGGAAUCACUGGGCUUAAAGCGUGUGUAGGCGGACCUCUAAGUACCUUGUGAAAUCCCACGGCUCACCCGUGGAACCGCUGGGUAUACUGGGGGUCUUGGGCCACUCAGGGGCGACUGGAACAAGCGGUGGAGCGGUGAAAUGCGUAGAUAUCGCUUGGAACGCCGAAGGUGAAAACAGGUCGCUGGGAGUGCGCCGACGCUGAGACACGAAAGCCAGGGGAGCAAACGGG
rnacentral:rRNA from 1 species